rnacentral:rRNA from 1 species
AACGAACGCUGGCGGCAUGCCUAACACAUGCAAGUCGAACGAGACCUUCGGGUCUAGUGGCGCACGGGUGCGUAACGCGUGGGAACCUGCCCUUAGGUUCGGAAUAACUCCCCGAAAGGGGUGCUAAUACCGGAUAAUGUCUUCGGACCAAAGAUUUAUCGCCUUUGGAUGGGCCCGCGUUGGUUUAGCUAGUUGGUAGGGUAAAAGCCUACCAAGGCGACGAUCCAUAGCUGGUCUGAGAGGAGGAUCAGCCACACUGGGACUGAGACACGGCCCAGACUCCUACGGGAGGCAGCAGUGGGGAAUAUUGGAAAAUGGGCGAAAGCCUGAUCCAGCAAUGCCGCGUGAGUGAUGAAGGCCUUAGGGUUGUAAAGCUCUUUUACCCGGGAUGAUAAUGACAGUACCGGGAGAAUAAGCUCCGGCUAACUCCGUG